UUCCUGGUGGCUCAGUGGUAAAGGAUCUGCCUGCCAUGCAGGAGACCCAGGUUCAAUCCCUGGGUCAGGAAA